ensembl:miRNA Mir709 microRNA 709
UGUCCUGUUUCUCUGCUUCUACUCAGAAGUGCUCUGAGCAUAGAACUGUCCUGUUUGAGCAGCACUGGGGAGGCAGAGGCAGGAGGAU